rnacentral:rRNA from 1 species
AGAGUUUGAUCAUGGCUCAGAUUGAACGCUGGCGGCAGGCUUAACACAUGCAAGUCGAGCGGGGAAAGGUAGCUUGCUACCUUACCUAGCGGCGGACGGGUGAGUAAUGCUUAGGAAUCUGCCUAUUAGUGGGGGACAACAUUUCGAAAGGAAUGCUAAUACCGCAUACGCCCUACGGGGGAAAGCAGGGGACCUUCGGGCCUUGCGCUAAUAGAUGAGCCUAAGUCGGAUUAGCUAGUUGGUGGGGUAAAGGCCUACCAAGGCGACGAUCUGUAGCGGGUCUGAGAGGAUGAUCCGCCACACUGGGACUGAGACACGGCCCAGACUCCUACGGGAGGCAGCAGUGGGGAAUAUGGGACAAUGGGGGGAACCCUGAUCCAGCCAUGCCGCGUGUGUGAAGAAGGCCUUUUGGUUGUAAAGCACUUUAAGCGAGGAGGAGGCUACUCUAGUUAAUACCUAGGGAUAGUGGACGUUACUCGCAGAAUAAGCACCGGCUAACUCUGUGCCAGCAGCCGCGGUAAUACAGAGGGUGCGAGCGUUAAUCGGAUUUACUGGGCGUAAAGCGUGCGUAGGCGGCUUUUUAAGUCGGAUGUGAAAUCCCUGAGCUUAACUUAGGAAUUGCAUUCGAUACUGGGAAGCUAGAGUAUGGGAGAGGAUGGUAGAAUUCCAGUGUAGCGGUGAAAUGCGUAGAGAUCUGGAGGAAUACCGAUGGCGAAAGCAGCCAUCUGGCCUAAUACUGACGCUGAGGUACGAAAGCAUGGGGAGCAAACAGGAUUAGAUACCCUGGUAGUCCAUGCCGUAAACGAUGUCUACUAGCCGUUGGGGCCUUUGAGGCUUUAGUGGCGCAGCUAACGCGAU